rnacentral:lncRNA from 1 species
CCCUCCCAGGGGAUGGAUUGGAAGGAGGAAGUCAUAGCUCUGUGGGAAGAGGGCUGAAGGCAAAUGGAUGUAUUGUGUAGGGGCUUAUCCACAGAGGACUGUGAAACUACAAAUUACAAUCCAGCUGCAUUUUCUUAUCUGGAUAUUUUCCCUCCCAUGUGCCUGUGAGUUCUCUCCUGUACACAAGUAGAAGGUGCAAAGAGAUGCUUGGUGAGAAAGCAGAGACUUAACCUGGUAUCAGAAGGGUCCCUGACAGCACAGAAGAUCCCAUGUGUGUGAGUGGAUACUGUGCUUGGAUGGGAUGGUGUGGCUGAUGCCCAUCUUGAACUGGAUGGAGCCACGUUCACACAGGCUGUGGUGUCUCUAGAUUUAGUGGUUGGUUUUUUUUUUUGGUGAUUAUUUGGAGAUUUUUUUUUUUGUAACUGACUCUUAAAAAAAAAAAAAAUCCUCAACAGAGGUGACAGUCAACACAUCUGCUGAAAGCUUCUCCACCAAAGGAGGAAGGGAAAGAAGAGAGCUAUCCCUCCUCUGGUUACUGAUGAUGGCAGCAAACUAGGGGACCCAGUCAUCCAACCUUCCCUUCUGUUCCCCCCACCUUGCAGGGAGCUCACCAGCAGGUCCCCAUGGCACUGGCUCUGUCACAGCCACACAGCUGAGGCCAGGUUAUUAGGAUCGUAGCUGGCUUAGGUUGGAAGGGGCGUUAAAGUUCUCCUAGGUCUCUAACAGUCUCCUAGGUCUCUCCACCUGCUGUGGGUUGAUGGUCACUCACUGGUCCAGGCUGCCCAGCACCUCAUCCAGCCUGGCCUGGAGCACCUCUAGGGACAGAAAAUCUGUACCAGCAUCUCACCACUCCAAGUGUGCUUGGAUCCAGUGCUGGAGGAAACCAAGCAUGUCUGGGUGGAGAUUCAACAGCCCCAGUAGACAGGACCAGCUCUCAGCCCUCAUUCUUCAAAGCAGAGGACUGCAUUACCCAAUCUCUGUGAUGUUCUGGACACCUGCUAGCCUGUAACAGUGGAAACUCAAUGACUCCAUGAUAACAUUAUGUUUAUUUGCUUCCUUUCAAAUGGCCGUGGAUGUGCAGGAUGCUGACAAAUGGGAUUUGGACU